rnacentral:rRNA from 1 species
CUGUGAAGAUGCAGUGUACCCGCGGCAAGACGGAAAGACCCCGUGAACCUUUACUAUAGCUUGACACUGAACAUUGAGCCUUGAUGUGUAGGAUAGGUGGGAGGCUUUGAAGUGUGGACGCCAGUCUGCAUGGAGCCGACCUUGAAAUACCACCCUUUAAUGUUUGAUGUUCUAACGUGGACCCGUUACCCGGGUUGCGGACAGUGUCUGGUGGGUAGUUUGACUGGGGCGGUCUCCUCCUAAAGAGUAACGGAGGAGCACGAAGGUUGGCUAAUCCUGGUCGGACAUCAGGAGGUUAGUGCAAUGGCAUAAGCCAGCUUGACUGCGAGCGUGACGGCGCGAGCAGGUGCGAAAGCAGGUCAUAGUGAUCCGGUGGUUCUGAAUGGAAGGGCCAUCGCUCAACGGAUAAAAGGUACUCCGGGGAUAACAGGCUGAUACCGCCCAAGAGUUCAUAUCGACGGCGGUGUUUGGCACCUCGAUGUCGGCUCAUCACAUCCUGGGGCUGAAGUAGGUCCCAAGGGUAUGGCUGUUCGCCAUUUAAAGUGGUACGCGAGCUGGGUUUAGAACGUCGUGAGACAGUUCGGUCCCUAUCUGCCGUGGGCGCUGGAGAACUGAGGGGGGCUGCUCCUAGUACGAGAGGACCGGAGUGGACGCAUCACUGGUGUUCGGGUUGUCAUGCCAAUGGCACUGCCCGGUAGCUAAAUGCGGAAGAGAUAAGUGCUGAAAGCAUCUAAGCACGAAACUUGCCCCGAGAUGAGUUCUCCCUGAGACUUAG